ACUAAUAAAAAUAAAGAUGAAAAGGAAUUAGGGUAAUUUGAAAUGACGAAUCAACUUCUCAUUCUCGGACCUCCUUCCUCUCUCAACGCGUGCGAGCGGCGCCGGAGAAGCCUUCUUCUCCGAGCGGCCAUCAACGACUCUCUUUCGUCGCACCCUCUUAAUUUCUCCGUCUCUCAAAUUCAUAUUCGCACACAAGAACUCAGCAAUGAAUCGUAAAUCAAAAGGGGUUUUUGAAACCCUAGAUCCAACCAAAAGUGAAGUUACAUACAAACAAUCGCGAAUCACAAAGAGAUACACCAACAGCAAGAAAACGCGAAGAAGAUUGAAGGAUUUGGGAUGCUUACCUGGAGUGGAGACGCGCGAUUGAAGAUAUUCUUGAAGGAUGAAGAUAUCAGAUGCGAGAAACGAAGGAAUUUUUUGCAGAGUUGAUGACUCGAUUUCUGUUGUUGUUGCGAGACUGAACGCGAUGAUGAAGGUGAUGUGCGUCGAAGGUGAUAUCGAUGCUGAGUUGAAUUAGUGACUGUGCGCUGAAGAAGGAGUUAUGGCGAUGAUGAAGAUGUUGCGGAGAGAGUGUGAAGGCUCAGAGUGGGAGAAGAUGACAGGGGUGAAUCAUGGUGGCAAUGGUGGUUGAAUUGAGUGUGCAGAAGCGAUGAAGAUGAUGAAUUUGGAGAGAAGUAAAGGUUGAGUUGGUGAUUGAAAAUGGUGGAUAUGAUGAAGGAUGAGUGAAAGAAGAUGAAGAUGGAGAAGGAGUCGAGAGGUGGAGAUGAAUGAAUGUUCUGAGAUGAAGUGUGAAAAAAAUGGUGAAGAAAUUGUGGGAACCGACUUCUGAAGAAGGAGUUCUAGUUAUAUAGGUGAGUUUCUCUAAUUUCUCUAUUAGGGUUUAGUUGGUAAUUCUGGUAGUUAUGAAACUGAUUUUCUGUUGAGAGUUAGUUAGUGAUCCGUAACUGUUUCUGUUAUGUGUUUAGUUAUAGGAAAAACUGAGGUUAGUUAAAGGUUAGAAUUCUGUUAGAGAGUGGUUAGGUUGUUAGGAAUUGAGACAAGUUAGUUUGUAAUCGAUUAAAAGGCUUGAAAGUUUGUUAGUGGCUGCUGGUUUGGUUAUUGAGUUAAAAAAAAACAGUUAGUUUAGUUACAACACAGUUAAGCUGAAACUAAAUUUAAAACAGGGGAUUGAUUGAUAGGAGAAUGGGUUAGUUAGCUGCUAUUUGAAAAUUCUGUUGGGGACUAGAUUGUUCAUUGAACUUGUGAAGUUAUGCAUUGACUUGGCUGUUGAAUUUUGGCUUCUCUGUGUGCAGGGUAUGAUUUUUGGGUCUGAACUGGGGCUUUGCAUUUGACUAAACUCUCCUUCUGUAAUUCUGUUAGAGCCUAUUAUUUAGCUUCCCCUCUCUUUGAAUGUUGAUGGUUGGACUGAUCUUGAUGCGUUUCCUCUUGUACUCUCUGCAGGAUUCAAAUAUAUUCGCGUCAUGGAUACGAAGUCACUCGGUUGAAUCACCCACAAGGCAUGUGAUCUAAACAUGGAUGAAUAGAAUAAUGCAGAUGAGGAAUGCUGAGAUCUGAGGAGGGAAUGGCUUAGUCCUCUCUUACUCCCAGCAAAGGAACUUCAAGCUUUGAACAGGAAGGUGUAGCAACUGUUUGGCCAUAUGCAAGUGCCCAGCAUUGUUUUUUCUGUCAUUUAGGAACCAGUCCCUUAGUAAAAUUUCCCGGCUUAAGAUUCGAGCACCAUCCUAAGACUUUUGUAUAAUAUGUUAGAAAGCUGUGAUGUAUCAAGUCUUUAUACAAUGUCCCUAACUACUUAUCUCUCUGUUUUUUUUUGUGAUGUUGAAUGAGUUUGACGUUAUGUAAAGGUGUUUGAAAUAAAUUGUAUGGAAUAUUUGUAACGAACUUGGAUUCUUGACCAUGUAAUAGUGAAUGGAGCUUGAAUGUAAUUUUCUUUUCUCGAAA